GAGCAGGGCGCCUAGGGUUCCGCAGCGGCAGAGCCGCAUGGUCAGGUCCGAGAGGCGCCGCCGGCGCGGCCACAUCCGCGCGGGUACACGGCGGGGCAAAAUCCCGGGAGAG
rnacentral:sRNA from 2 species